CUCUAUAACCAUACCACCCUGAAUGUGACUGAUCUCAUCUGAUCUUGGAAGAUAACCAAGGUCAGUCCUGGUUAGUACUUGGAUGUGGACUGCCUGGGAGAGAAA
rnacentral:rRNA from 1 species